GACUAAUUUACAUGUAACUGCCCCACCUGCUGGCUCCUGCUACUCCCUGACCUGUUGGUCCAGCCCAGGAUCGAGCACAGAGAUGACUCCUGUUUGCCGGUUGAUGGCGAACAUGUUGGAGUGAGUGCUGCUAGCUGUCUUCUCUGAGCGCAGAAGCUUGCAUCUCAUGGAACCCUCACCCCAAAAAGUCUUGGAACUUGUCCACAAGUGCACAGCUAAUUCUUAAAUGGGGCUUCGUCACCUUCAGCCAUCCUGUUUCUCUGUCCAUGAUAAACACGCCAUAAGGAGGUUCAUCAGCGCCUGUGCCAGUGAUGCUGUAGAAAACCUGGAUUUCCUUGUUCUUGUUAGAUUUGACCUGAAGGCAAUACAGAAGCAGAACAACCCAAGAAGGACCCCAGUCAAGUGAAUAGGGCGGUGGCCUCAGCUAAGGGCUUCUCAGAUGUCUACCAGGAGACAGAGACACGGAAACCAGCCAAUGUCAGGGAAAGAAAGACACCAAUACACACCUUCCUUUACAAAAGCAUAUGG